rnacentral:rRNA from 1 species
UACGUAGGGGGCGAGCGUUGUCCGGAUUUAUUGGGCGUAAAGAGCGUGUAGGCGGUUCGGUAAGUCUGUCGUGAAAUCCUGAGGCUCAACCUCGGGCGUGCGAUGGAUACUGCCGGGCUAGAGGGUGGUAGAGGCGAGUGGAAUUCCCGGUGUAGCGGUGAAAUGCGCAGAUAUCGGGAGGAAUACCAGUGGCGAAGGCGGCCUUCUGGACGGAUACUGACGCUGAGGCGCGAAAGCCAGGGGAGCAAACGGG